AGUUUACCGUAACAUCAAUUCAUCAACAAGCAACAGAGAUCUAAAUCCAGAUCCGAUCGAGAAAAAGAAGCAGACAUCCACAAAAAGAAAGACAAACCUGAGGCUGGUAAGGAAGGUGAACUGGCACAUGAGGGAACAAUGAUUAUAACCGGAAUCCUGGAUUUAAGCGAGAAGACUUCAGAGUGGUGAGGAAGCUAUGCGCCAGUUUAGUUAAAAAAAAAGAGUUAAUUCUUCUACAUAAGUUUUUGUCUUCUGUUUGUUGGUCAGUGGUGGGCUUGGUCCAGUUCUAAUCUAAACUCUAAAAGUCCUUUCGAGUUUUAAUGUUUUGUUAGCCUAUUUUUUAUACAUAUAUAUUCUAGCUUUUGUAACU